GACGAACGCUGGCGGCGUGCUUAACACAUGCAAGUCGAACGGAAAGGCCCCUUUGGGGGUACUCGAGUGGCGAACGGGUGAGUAACACGUGAGUAACCUGCCCUUGACUUCGGGAUAACUUCAGGAAACUGGGGCUAAUACCGGAUAGGAAUCCUUGCUGCAUGGUGGGGGUUGGAAAGCUUCGGCGGUUUUGGAUGGACUCGCGGCUUAUCAGCUUGUUGGUGGGGUAGUGGCUUACCAAGGCUUCGACGGGUAGCCGGCCUGAGAGGGCGACCGGCCACAUUGGGACUGAGAUACGGCCCAGACUCCUACGGGAGGCAGCAGUGGGGAAUAUUGCACAAUGGGCGGAAGCCUGAUGCAGCAACGCCGCGUGCGGGAUGACGGCCUUCGGGUUGUAAACCGCUUUCAGCAGGGGCGAAGCUUGUGGUGACGGUACCUGCAGAAGAAGCACCGGCUAACUACGUG
rnacentral:rRNA from 1 species